rnacentral:lncRNA from 1 species
GAUAAGUAAGCCCAAUAACUAUUGGUGGUGGUUGACGUCCCAUCAGUUGAGUUCUCUCCGGAUUGUGAGAGCGAGAUAGCUAUUGGAUGAGGGAAGUUGGUCUCAGACUUAACUAUCGUUUGCUAUUGCUGCUGAAUCAAUGGAGUUGAACGGUAUGUAUAUCUAACCCUAACUCAAGAAUAUGUUUAUACUUGUGUUUUAAUCUCUGCUAUGGUCGUUGACUUAAUUUAUUACAUAUACCUGAAAAGCAGUGAAUUUGAAUGGAGAUGCAUUUUGGAAAACUCCAUCUUUGAGCCAUCUCUCAGGAUUGAAUGAAGCUGCAUCAGAACCCCAGUUGUAUUCCAUUCUGCCCAUAGAGUAAGGUACAUAAGUCACCAUUCCUCCAGCUUUUAACUUUGUUCCAUCUGGUAAUACAUCAUCUUCCAAUAUACCCUUAGGAUCCUAUAUGAAUAAAAAAAAUAUGACUAGUGACCAAUUGACAAGAAUGUGCACAUAAUUUUCUCUGCAUUAUGCAACAAAAAUCAAGGAUACUAACCUGAGGAACAGCGGGGUACAACCGAAGAGUUUCUGUAAUGACAGCAUGCAA